CCCGGGCGUCGAGCGGCGGACGGGUGAGUAACGCGUAGGAAUCUACCCAGUAGCGGGGGAUAGCCCGGGGAAACUCGGAUUAAUACCGCAUACGCCCCACGGGGGAAAGAGAGGGCCCUUUUCGAAGGCCUCUUACUAUUGGAGGAGCCUGCGUUGGAUUAGCUAGUUGGUAGGGUAAAGGCCUACCAAGGCGACGAUCCAUAGCUGUUCUGAGAGGAAGAUCAGCCACACUGGGACUGAGACACGGCCCAGACUCC
rnacentral:rRNA from 1 species